CUUCCUGUGGGGAUUCCUGCCCCUUCAGUUAUCAGCAGCCUGGGCUCAGAGUCUUGGCAAUUUUGGCAGAGGAGCCAGAGCUGAGCAGAGCGCCCAGGACUGCCCUGUGUCCUGAGGGGUUAUCCCAUCAGCAGAGGCAUGCUGUCAGUGGUUACAGCUUUUUCCAACAAGUAAAAGCAUAUUAAAUUGCACUUUGAAGGCGAAGUUGUGAGUUCUUGCUUUCUGUUUGGUGCAUUAUCCUUCAUGCUCAUUGUGUAAAAUUUGGAUUUAGGUAAGGAUCCUUUGAGUAAGAUACACAAGUGCACAAUGCACUCACAGGCUGCAGAACAUUUUUACUGGCUGUAGGAAAGCAAGCCCUUUAAAAGGAGAAACGGCAGAGUGGCACCACAUGUUGGGGUUGGGAUGAGAUGUUCUUUCAGGUCCCUUCCAACCCAAACCAUUCUGGGACUCCACGUGUGGUUCACUGGGACUUGGUCUGGCUGCUUGACUGGCUGUGGGCAGGGCAGUGUUUUGUUUUCAUUACUGCCAUUCAGUGCCAGACAGGAGGAAUGAAACAUGCAGAAAUGUAAACUUUGGUGUCUGUGCUGGGAUUUCAGAGCUUUUGUGGGCGAGGGUCUGCCAUGCCCGAUGAGCUGGGCACCAGCCAAGGCCGAGGGUGCUCGCCUGAGCUCCGCACGCCUUCCUGCAGUGUGGGAUGGGACGCACAGCCCAGCUCUGGGGGGAAGUCAGGGGGUACUGGGGCACAGGAGUGACACAGGGUGUCUUCAAACUAAAUAGCUUUUUGGAGGUGAACAGUGUCGGAGCCAAUAACUGAGGCACAAAAAAUGUGAUAAACACUGAGUUAAAGUGCAGAGAGAGGGGCUGGACAGGGCUCUGUGGGCAGAGGGACCUCCCUGCCUGGAAGGAAGGUGAGCUCAUGCUGGGGCCACGAGGUGAUCCCAGCCAGUCUCUGGAGCAGGGGAACAGUCCAGGGGGAGCUUUGCAUGGCACUGUGUGGCUCAUGGCUGCUUUAGCUUGCUGGCAGCAGCUCUGCUGCAGAGGAGGACAUGCGGACUGCUGUGAUCUGUGCCUGUGUCACUGUUUUGCAGGUGACAGCAGUGGGCUAAAUGUCCAUUCCACAGUGAUGCAACGUGUUUGUGGAGACCUUGGGGCAUGUUUCUUUCCCAGAGAAUGCCAAAGGAACAAGAAGUUCAGAUGUGGCUGGAACAGCUCAAGUACAUGAAGAGAAAAGCACUACUUUCAGCUAUCUGAUUUGGACUUCUUCAAAUGUGGAAAUAGCAGGAUGGAGGAAAAUCAUGGAAUUGGGAAAGAAGAGUGCCUCAGAAAAAGCCAAGACAGUAGAUUUUUAUAGGUAGCUCUGCCCAAUUUGUGCCGACUCCUGCGAGGCUCCGGUAGCAGCUGGAACAGGCUCCCGAGGCAGACUUUUAUCCUUUCUCCCUCCCACGCGGAUCCAUCUGUGAGACUGCUUGUUCUUGCUGCUCUUGCUGAGAAACUGGAUCGAGCUCAGAAGCAUCCUGCUCUUUCAGACCCUCUGCCAGAGUCUUGCUAGUCAAGGAGGACUCUGUAUCCCUGUGGAUUUGCACGGUCCCAGGUUUCAAACAGUCGCUUGUGUUUCUGAAUCUGCAGCUCUUCCUGCUAGACUCUGGAAAAAAAAAUAAUUUCCAAGCUGUUGGCCACUUUAAAUUGGAGCUCCCACAGAGUGAACACGAGGUGGUAUUUCCAGAUUCGCUCAGGAUCUUUUGUUCAGAGUCUUGGGUGAUGCUUGGGAGGAUUUAAGUUCACUCCUCAUGCACUUGCUUGUCCCCAGAGUGGUUUUUCUCCUCUGUGUCUUUGGGAUACCUGCAGUGGUUUUGAUGUCAAUACUUGCUGAGGUCUGACAGCUGAUGGGAGAUCUGCCCAGUGGUAUUGCUGUGAAAUUUGUGGAAGUCGUGUGGGUACUCUUGUGUAUUCCUAGCAAGGAAGGAGAAGGGGCACAAAACUUCGGUGGUUUUGGGUGUCCACCAGAAGAUUUUUCUUUCCAGGUUGUGGAGGCACCUUUGGUUUUCAGAGCAGCUCUAAGUGCCGGUCAGGGUGGUGAUUUGCAGAAGUGUCUGUGCGAGGUACCACAAGGGAUUUCCUCAGUUUGAAAGUUAGUGAAGAAAAUACUGCCAGGGGCGAGUUCAGUAAUGUCAGUUUUGUGUUAAUUUAACAUAGAAAUGGGCAAAACUUCCACUGAGGUACCAUGUUUUCAGUUUGGGCUGGUGUCUCAGUGCUUGGAUUGGGUUAGGUGAAGUACAGCACUGCCAACAGAGAUCAGUCUGAGCACCUGACUUUGAGACACAACUGAAAAGAGCCUGGGAAAAGCAGCUUUACUCAGGGGAUCUGUGUGCCCUGGAAAUCAGCUGUGGAGCGUUCCUUGACAAUAAGAAGCAGAAGAAUGGGAAACCGUCGAAAACAUUUUCCUUGAUUGUUUUUGUAGAGACUUUCUGUUACACAUAAUUAGAUUAAUUAUUUCCACCUAGAUAUGCCACCCUCCAUAGCUGUGGAUGCGUUCCAUGUUAAUAAAGCAGCUCAUACUUAGUUAAUAGUGUCCUGC
rnacentral:lncRNA from 1 species